AUUGAACGCUGGCGGCAUGCCUUACACAUGCAAGUCGAACGGUAACGGGCCUUCGGGUGCCGACGAGUGGCGAACGGGUGAGUAAUACAUCGGAACGUGCCCGAUCGUGGGGGAUAACGAGGCGAAAGCUUUGCUAAUACCGCAUACGAUCUACGGAUGAAAGCAGGGGACCGCAAGGCCUUGCGCGGACGGAGCGGCCGAUGGCAGAUUAGGUAGUUGGUGGGAUAAAAGCUUACCAAGCCGACGAUCUGUAGCUGGUCUGAGAGGUUGAUCAGCCACACUGGGACUGAGACACGGCCCAGACUCCUACGGGAGGCAGCAGUGGGGAAUUUUGGACAAUGGGCGCAAGCCUGAUCCAGCCAUGCCGCGUGCAGGAUGAAGGCCUUCGGGUUGUAAACUGCUUUUGUACGGAACGAAAAGCCUACUUUUAAUACAGGAGGGUCAUGACGGUACCGUAAGAAUAAGCACCGGCUAACUACGUG
rnacentral:rRNA from 1 species